CACCGGAUCUGGCUUUGCAAGAGGGAAGGCCUUCAGGACGGAGAGCUCAGCUUGAUGGGACAGGGACGGCACCUUUCUGAAGGCUUGUGUAUCUUGCUAAGGUGCCCCGGCUGGCCUGAAACUCGUGAUCCUCCUACCUCAGCCUCCCAGAGUACUGGCAUUACAGAACUACAGACCGGCCCUGGAACAACAGGAUGGAGCGCUCCCCGGGGACACUGGUCAGACUGCUUCUCCUGUCUCCCUGGCAUGAGCACAGAGAGCUGUGCACAGGCUGAAUGAGCUGGCAGAGCUGGUCAUUCACUGGCUCAGGCCUCUGCUCAAAUGUCACCCGUCCACCCCACUUGCCAACCCCUCUCCCUGAGAUGAUGUCCUCUGCACCCCUGCCCCAGCCUGACAGUGCCUACAACUCAUGCCUGCCUCACUGUCUGCCUCCCUGGCUAGAAUGUGGGCACCAAGGGUGGCAAGCCCAGCCGAAGGCUCUGUCCUUGGGGCGGUGCACAGCCCCUCAGGGUCCUCCUUGGAAUGGGCGACCAUUGAUUCCCACUGGACAAUGGAGUCACUGAAUUCAGAGCGCACUGUCCCCAGUCCUGACCCGGACUGCCCCCCAUGGCUGAUGUCAGCACGAGCUCUAGACAGCUGAUGGACCCAAGGAGAUCUGCUUUGGACUGCUGCUUGGUAAACUGAGGCAGGGCUAGUCCCUGGUGUCCUACUCAUGGUACAGAGAAGGUGCCCACCACAAGCCAGUCCUUAAUGCUGUAGCACAGAGCUCUGGCAUUGGACCCCAGCCAGAUCCUGCUCCCAGGCUGGCCCAACACACUCCCCAAUCGGACCACAGCUGCCCUGGCCUGGGAUGAGGACCGAGCGCUAUUCUGGAUCUGCGCAGAUCUGGAUCUGAAUGAUCCCUUGUGCUUGUGCCAGACCAAGCCUGCUGCAGGCCACCACCACCAGCCCAGUUACGACACCAGCCAACUCUAAUUCUAGACAACUCAGACCAACCUCCAACCAGAGCCUGGACCUGCUCCUGAGGCUGAUCCCCACAGCAUGUGAGCCGAGAGUCUGAAGACCUUCUGUUCACUUUUCAUAGUCCCAAGCCCAUUGCAAAAAAGUGGGGUGCAUGCACAGGUGACCCCAAUCCCUGCACCUUCCCCAGAUGGGCCCUUAACUCCAACUCUGCCACCCACGGCUCUGUCCCAUGUGCCCCCUGACCCUGGGGACUGGACAGUGACCUCCUUGUCCCUCAAGCCCCCUCCCUCUUCUGCAGUUUCCAGCUGCCUGGCAGUCCUGGAGUUCCUCAAGACAGGAUUCCAGAGCUGGAAGAGCCCGAGAGAGCAGAGCCCAGUCUUUCCUGGGCUCCUGGACAGCUGCUGGCAACUGCCAGCUUCACCCCCUCACCCGCGCGGUCUGGAAUGUGGCUGAGAAUGGAGGAAGGCAUCUGCCUCCAACGGACCCCAAUCAACAACCUGCAAGCCAGUCCACAAGGGGAGGUGGGGAGGAGACAGCUGUGGCGUUCAUCCAGAUUCUGCCUAUUUCUCCUGCUCUUUUUUUUAGGUGGGGAGCUGGGCUUGAACCCCAGGCCUCACACUUGCUUAACACCCACUCAGCCUUGAACUAUACCCAGCCCUCUCCGGCUCCCAAAGGGACCCAGAAGCUAGGCCACCCUGGAGGCAGAGACCGUGGCCCUGCUCUGACCUCCACCCUGCUGUGCAUCCUGAGGUGAAGCAGAGGAUGUGGUCGCUCUUGGGGUAAAGGCACAGGGGUGCUGACUCACUCGAA